rnacentral:rRNA from 1 species
GACGAACGCUGGCGGCGUGCCUAAUGCAUGCAAGUCGAACGCAGCAGCUCCGGCUGGCUGCGUGGCGAACGGCUGAGGACCACGUGGGUGACCUACCCCGGAGUGGGGGAUACCCCGUCGAAAGACGGGAUAAUCCCGCAUACGCUCUACGGAGGAAAGCCCCUUCGGGCGCUCCGAGAGGGGCCUGCGGCCCAUCAGGGGGGUUUGGUGUGGUAACGGCGCACCAAGCCGAUGACGGGUACCCGGUCUGAAAAGGACGACCGGGCAGACUGGGGACUGCGACACGGCCCAGACUCCUACGGGAGGCAGCAGCAAGGAUUUUUCCCCAAUGGGCGCAAGCCUGAGGGAGCAACGCCGCGUGGAGGACGACGGCCUUCGGGUUGUAAACUCCUUUCGGGGGGGACGACACCGACGGUACCACCAGAAGCAGCCCCGGCUAACUCUGUGCCAGCAGCCGCGGUAAAACAAAAGGGGGCAAGCGUUGUCCGGAGUUACUGGGCGUAAAGGGCGCGGGAGGCGGUCUGGCGGCGUCGGCGCUGAAAGCGCCCCGCUUAACGGGGGCGAGGGCGUGCCGAUACGCGCAGACUAGAG